rnacentral:lncRNA from 1 species
ACGGUUUGGCAUUAUUUAUUGGCAUUAUUUAUUUCAUAGAAGCUAAAGGUUGUCUAACUACAAAUUUGACCCUUUUGUUGUUGUUGUGAGAAUCAAUACCUUCAUUCAGAAACUCGAGAUUUGACGCCCCUUGUGAUGAGAGAGAUGUAAAUUAAUCUAGACUUUUCGGCCUACCAUAACGUUUGCUUUAUAUUUUCAAUUUUUUCUUUCUUCUAGAUACUCAUCCUUAUUUUCUCAUAUAAGUAAAUCAUUGUUCUCAUCUCAUAUAUGUAUUUGUAAGUUUCUAAUCUAUU